rnacentral:rRNA from 1 species
UACGUAGGGUGCGAGCGUUGCCCGGAUUUAUUGGGCGUAAAGGGCGCGUAGGCGGUCACGCACGUCCGUUGUGAAAUCGCUCGGCUCAACUGGGCGGGGUCAGCGGAUACGGCGUGGCUGGAGCAAGCUAGGGGGCAAUGGAAUUCCCGGUGUAGUGGUGGAAUGCGUAGAGAUCAGGAAGAACACCGGUGGCGAAAGCGCUCUGCUAGGCCGCAACUGACACUGAGGGACGAAAGCUAGGGGAGCGAAUGGG